CCUACGGGAGGCUGCAGUGAGGAAUAUUGGUCAAUGGACGAGAGUCUGAACCAGCCAAGUAGCGUGAAGGAUGACUGCCCUAUGGGUUGUAAACUUCUUUUAUAUGGGAAUAAACUGUUCCACGUGUGGGAUUUUGUAUGUACCAUAUGAAUAAGGAUCGGCUAACUCCGUGCCAGCAGCCGCGGUAAUACGGAGGAUCCGAGCGUUAUCCGGAUUUAUUGGGUUUAAAGGGAGCGUAGGUGGAUUGUUAAGUCAGUUGUGAAAGUUUGCGGCUCAACCGUAAAAUUGCAGUUGUAACUGGCAGUCUUGAGUACAGUAGAGGUGGGCGGAAUUCGUGGUGUAGCGGUGAAAUGCUUAGAUAUCACGAAGAACUCCGAUUGCGAAGGCAGUUCACUGGACUGUAACUGACACUGAGGCUCGAAAGUGUGGGUAUCAAACAGGAUUAGAUACCCCUGUAGUC
rnacentral:rRNA from 1 species